AACGCACAUUGCGCCCACUAGUAUUCUGGUGGGCAUGCCUGUUCGAGCGUCAUUUCAACCCUCAAGCCUGGCUUGGUGUUGGGGCUCUGCGCAACGCAGUCCCUUAAAUUCAGUGGCGGACACGCUAGGUCUCCGAGCGCAGUAGUUUCUUCUCGCUUCGGGCGUCCGGCGUGGGCUUGCCUCGCACCCAACUUCUCAAGGUUGACCUCGGAUCAGGUAGGAAUACCCGCUGAACUUAA
rnacentral:misc_RNA from 1 species